ACUUCACGAGGUGGUGCAAAAAAAUCCCGCAAUAGUUACGAGUUAAAUUGAAUUGGUUUAUUAACAAGCAGUGAAUUAUCGCUAGUUUGUAAAUAUUUACAGUUGUCGCAUAUUUGUAUAUUUGCAUAUCAGGAAGCGUUAGGACUUCAACCCGCGCAGUUUACAAGUUGGUGGAUUCCGCAAUAUAUAAUCAUUUUAUUAAUUCUCGUAGAUUAUAUUCUCUCUAUGGAACAACGGUUCUACAGUGUUACGGCGAAAGAAAUCCGGAAGCUGGCGUACGAUUUGGCCGAAAGAUGGCAUUUCUCACACUUUCAAUAGCCAAAAGCAAUUAGCCGGAAUGGAUUAGUUGGCUGGUUUUGGAGAGCGCCAUCCACAACUCUCACUUUGGACACCAAAAGCAAUCUCCGCCACCAGGGCACAAGGAUUCAAUCGCGUUGCAGUCGGGAAAUUCUACGAUUUACUGGAGGACGUACAGCAGAAAUACGACAUUCCACCAGUAAGGCAAUUCAACGUGGAUGAGACAUCAGUGAUUCCAGUACAGACCAGAAAUUCCAAAAUUCUAACAAUGCGGGAAAAAAGGCAGAAAAGCGCUAUAACUUCAGCUGAGCGCUGAGCACGGAAUAACGAUCAUAGAAUAAACUUUCGUUAUAUGAACUUGUUACGUUAUUUCCCAGCGAAAACAUGCUUAAAUGAUUGAAUCAACCAGCAUGGUCAUAUUGCCCCGCAUGGUGGCCCAUUUUGCCCCGUAGUGCUCUCGAUCGACGAAAAUGGAAUACAUUUUUAAAAGUGUAAAUUUUCAUCAUGAAUCUUUUCUAAAGCAUUUUCAUACAAUGUACAUCGAUCAAUAAGGUUUCAAAUCGUGAGGUUUUAACAUGUAGCAUAAUUUAUAAAUGUUCAUGCAUGAUUCAGGAUGUUUCGUUCUUAGGGGGACCAUAUUGCCCCUAUCUACCCUACAUGUAUUUUAAGGCGUUAUUGGUAUUUAUUUAAUGAAAAAGGUAUAUUAUCAUAUUCCCGCGUACACUUCGCGGUGAAAACGAGAUGAACGACAUGACAUUGAACUUCGUUUUACGAGUUAAUGAGCGUCAAAGAUAAUAAUGAAUUUUCAAGCAAAAUAAACAUUUUUCAUACAAAAAUUAUGAAUGAAAAUUUCUUUCUGCAAAUCAAAUUAUAGUUCAAUGUAAAUGAAAAACUUUGUUUUUUUAUGUGGUAAAAUAAUUUCUUACAAUAAUUGUAUCUGAAGAUAAUUUUGUGUUAUAACAAUAAGAUAUAGUGGAACGCAAAUUAGUGUUCAGAUUAGGAUUGGGCGAUCUUUAUAAAAAGAUCGAUCUUAUCGAAUCGAUUUUCCAA